GCUUGCUACCUGACCUAGCGGCGGACGGGUGAGUAAUGCUUAGGAAUCUGCCUAUUAGUGGGGGACAACAUUCCGAAAGGAAUGCUAAUACCGCAUACGCCCUACGGGGGAAAGCAGGGGAUCUUCGGACCUUGCGCUAAUAGAUGAGCCUAAGUCAGAUUAGCUAGUUGGUGGGGUAAAGGCCUACCAAGGCGACGAUCUGUAGCGGGUCUGAGAGGAUGAUCCGCCACACUGGGACUGAGACACGGCCCAGACUCCUACGGGAGGCAGCAGUGGGGAAUAUUGGACAAUGGGCGAAAGCCUGAUCCAGCCAUGCCGCGUGUGUGAAGAAGGCCUUUUGGUUGUAAAGCACUUUAAGCGAGGAGGAGGCUACUUAGAUUAAUACUCUAGGAUAGUGGACGUUACUCGCAGAAUAAGCACCGGCUAACUCUGUGCCAGCAGCCGCGGUAAUACAGAGGGUGCGAGCGUUAAUCGGAUUUACUGGGCGUAAAGCGUGCGUAGGCGGCUUCUUAAGUCGGAUGUGAAAUCCCUGAGCUUAACUUAGGAAUUGCAUUCGAUACUGGGAAGCUAGAGUAUGGGAGAGGAUGGUAGAAUUCCAGGUGUAGCGGUGAAAUGCGUAGAGAUCUGGAGGAAUACCGAUGGCGAAGGCAGCCAUCUGGCCUAAUACUGACGCUGAGGUACGAAAGCAUGGGGAGCAAACAGGAUUAGAUACCCUGGUAGUCCAUGCCGUAAACGAUGUCUACUAGCCGUUGGGGCCUUUGAGGCUUUAGUGGCGCAGCUAACGCGAUAAGUAGACCGCCUGGGGAGUACGGUCGCAAGACUAAAACUCAAAUGAAUUGACGGGGGCCCGCACAAGCGGUGGAGCAUGUGGUUUAAUUCGAUGCAACGCGAAGAACCUUACCUGGUCUUGACAUAGUAAGAACUUUCCAGAGAUGGAUUGGUGCCUUCGGGAACUUACAUACAGGUGCUGCAUGGCUGUCGUCAGCUCGUGUCGUGAGAUGUUGGGUUAAGUCCCGCAACGAGCGCAACCCUUUUCCUUAUUUGCCAGCGAGUAAUGUCGGGAACUUUAAGGAUACUGCCAGUGACAAACUGGAGGAAGGCGGGGACGACGUCAAGUCAUCAUGGCCCUUACGACCAGGGCUACACACGUGCUACAAUGGUCGGUACAAAGGGUUGCUACCUAGCGAUAGGAUGCUAAUCUCAAAAAGCCGAUCGUAGUCCGGAUUGGAGUCUGCAACUCG
rnacentral:rRNA from 1 species